rnacentral:rRNA from 1 species
CAAUAGCGUAUAUUUAAGUUGUUGCAGUUAAAAAGCUCGUAGUUGGAUUUGUGGUGUACUUCGGCGGCCCGUCACUAUGUGAUGGAGCUUGCUGAAGUCGCCAUCCUUGGGUGGAUCCUGUGUGGCAUUAAGUUGUCGUGCAGGGGAUGCCCAUCGUUUACUGUGAAAAAAUUAGAGUGUUCAAAGCAGGCUUAUGCCGUUGAAUAUGUUAGCAUGGAAUAAUAAGAUAGGACCUUGGUACUAUUUUGUUGGUUUGCGCACCAAGGUAAUGAUUAAUAGGGACAGUUGGGGGUAUUCGUAUUUCAUUGUCAGAGGUGAAAUUCUUGGAUUUUUGAAAGACGAACUACUGCGAAAGCAUUUACCAAGGAUGUUUNCAUUAA